rnacentral:rRNA from 1 species
AUGCGGCGUCUCUCGCCGCGGCUUCCUGCGUCUCCACCUCCUGAUCGGCCUCCUCCCCUUGUACAACAACGUCAAUGCCGGGGACCGAUGCUCCUCGCCGCACCGGCGCCUCUUCGCGCUGUUCCACGCCGCCGCCUCCCGCGGCCGCUCGCUCCCAGCGCCUCGCCUGGCCCUCGACGACGUCACAUUCGCCAUCGACCUCUUCGCGGCCGGCGGAAAGAACACGCUCUCGUUCGCCGUCGCUGCGUCCGACGCCGGCGUAAAGAAGGCCCCCGGGGGCGUGUUCCAGUUCGCGGUGGACGUGAGUGA